UUGGAAAAGACCUCCAAGGGGACUUACACUGAGAUGCAUCUCCCAGUGACAUCAAGCAGAGCCCUGUGGGACUCCAGGACACAGAGGCCUUUUUGUUCCCCAUUCCUUGGAGGCAGGACUCUGGCCUGCCUGAACUGGAACUCUGGCCAGAACUCUGGCCUGGAACUCAUGACCUCUGAGUUCCGAAGGGCAGAACAGUUGCUAGUCAAAGGGGAAGAAGCAACAAGACCACCUGAGGCAGAGGUUCAGCAGGAUUAAGAGAUGGACCACCUAGGACCCUGCAUACACCCUAAUCUUGUCGGCAACCCCAUCUUUGGAAACUGAAAGAAGAAUACAAGACUGUUACUGCCUUGAUCCUUAUCACAUACUCCUGCCUGACUACAUAACCUUUCCCUACUCACCAGGGAAGGGAAAUACAGUUCUUGAGACACUAGCCUACUGUCUUCACCCUUUGCCUGGCAAAGUAAUAGAGCCGCUCUUUCUUUUUCCUCUAUAACUCUGUCUGGAUUUGUUUGGCCUUGGUCCACGAAGAACCAAGAUUUUGGCAACACCAAGACUGCUGCUGCCAGUGCCCCUGUCCCUAUGGCAGGCCGCUGCUGACCCACGCCUCUGCAGGAGAGCCUCAAACACUCACAGCUCUAGAACUGACUCACUGGAAAAGACCCUGAUGCUGGGAAAGAUUGAAGGCAGGAAGAGAAGGGGAUGACAGAGGAUGAGAUGGUUGGAUGGCAUCACCGACUCAAUGGACAUGAGUUUGAGCGAGCUCCGGGAGUUGGUGAUGGACAGGGAAGCUCGGUGUGCAGCAGUCCAUGGGGUCACAAAGAGCUGGACACAACUGAGCGACUGGACUGAACUGAAGGUCUUCACUGCUGCAUGAGAGCUUUCUUUAGUUGCACAACGAAGUGGCCUCCUCCUUCCUUGGUUGUGGCAUUAUCCUGCUUGUGAGAAGAUUAAGAUUGUUUCAGAAAGAACAGAAAGAGGAGAAAAGAGCUAAUGUGUUGAAAUUCAAAAUAGGAUUUUUCAGCAAAACAAUAGACUUGAAAUUGCACUCACAGAGAAAUCAUUUUCUGUAUUCAUUUAGCUCCUAUUUAACAUAAUCAAGAUCGAGCUCUAUGUCCAAGUUUCUACAAAACGGAGAGGUAAUUUAAUCUCUGAUUUCUGAUUUCAUCACCUGUUCAUGAUGGUAAUCAGAGCAUCUACCUCAAAGGACGGCUUCCAAAAGGGGCUCCUGUCUUCUGAAGUGGCAACCAGAGCCAGAAAUCAAGGGUAUGAUAUGAAAGGAACGCAAGAGAAGCCACCCCUUCUAGUCUUGGGGAUUGAAGAAGAAAGCCAGGAGGUGACAGUGAGAUAGACAUCAAAGAGGCUUCCCUUGGGAGUGGGGGAAUGGCUUCAAAACUGCCACAAAAUAGAAGAACUCAUUGAAGUCGGUACAGACUGGUGUCCAGUGCAGAUACCUGGGCAAAUCAAGGUGAACCGGCAGGGAGACAGAGAGUAGUUUGCAGUUUUAGUUCUUUCCUUGAUGGUAUUGAGUUGAGAGCCGUGGGCCUGCCGUGGGCGUGGUGUGCAAGCAAGAUGGUGAAUGAGUGUCAGAGAUGUAACGUUCCGACAGCUUGGGUUGGGGGCUAGGUCGGGGAUAUAGGAGACAUUCAGGGAGUCCACUGGGUUCUCCAGAGCCACAGAGAGGUUGGAAUAGCCAGGGAGUAUGAGUGAGAUCAGAUCCAGCCAUAAGAGCUGCUGUUCAGUUGCUAAGUUGUAUCGGACUCUAUGUCAUCCAAUGGACUGCAGCAUGCCAGGCUUCCCUGUCCUUCACUAUCUCCUGGAGCUUGCUCAGACUCAUGUCCAUUGAGUUGGUGAUGCCAUCCAACGCUCUCAUCCUCUGCUGCUCUUCUCCUCUUGCCCUCAAUCUUUCCCAGCAUCAGGG
ensembl:lncRNA